GUAACUAUGACUCAACCUUCUAAGAGGGUCAUGAGAGUGAGGCCGCGAGGCCUUGCUAGUGGGCCCCCCCUCCGGGGGGAGCCUGCGACACUAUCAAACUGACGGGGACCUCCUAAAGCUCGGACGACCAAGCCCCUGCGGAAACGCGAGGGGUGGCCAGGUGUAGCGGCCUGGGUACGGUAAAACUGUCCCGAGAUGCGACAAUGGACGACCCGCAGCCAAGCCCUAAACGGGGGGGCCUUUUGGAAGCAAAAGGCCCCCCGCACGGGUGCAGUUAAACGACUAGACGGUAGUGGGCCGGGGCGCCAGCCGCCCGGGCUUAAGAUAUAGUCUUGUGGUCCGCUGAAAGGCGUGU
rnacentral:ncRNA from 1 species